rnacentral:rRNA from 1 species
AGUGAACGCUGGCGGUAGGCCUAACACAUGCAAGUCGAACGGCAGCACAGUAAGAGCUUGCUCUUACGGGUGGCGAGUGGCGGACGGGUGAGGAAUACAUCGGAAUCUACUUUUUCGUGGGGGAUAACGUAGGGAAACUUACGCUAAUACCGCAUACGACCUACGGGUGAAAGCAGGGGAUCUUCGGACCUUGCGCGAUUGAAUGAGCCGAUGUCGGAUUAGCUAGUUGGCGGGUAAAGGCCCACCAAGGCGACGAUCCGUAGCUGGUCUGAGAGGAUGAUCAGCCACACUGGAACUGAGACACGGUCCAGACUCCUACGGGAGGCAGCAGUGGGGAAUAUUGGGCAAUGGGCGCAAGCCUGAUCCAGCCAUACCGCGUGGGUGAAGAAGGCCUUCGGGUUGUAAAGCCCUUUUGUUGGGAAAGAAAAGCAGCAGGUUAAUACCCCGCUGUUCUGACGGUACCCAAAGAGUAAGCACCGGCUAACUUCGUG